rnacentral:tRNA from 1 species
GCCUGGGUGGCUCAGUCGGUUGGGCAUCUGACUUCAGCUCAGGUCAUGAUCUCGCGGUCCGUGAGUUCAAGCCCCGCGUCGGGCU